GGAAGACAGGGACAUGGGUAGAAAGAAAAGGAAGCCACAUACGGAAGUGUCCUUCAUUUUUUGACCCCACUCAUCAUCCACACAACGUCAUCUCGGUCGCAGGAGCCCACAGAGAGUCUCAGUGUCAGGGAUGAUUCUCCACAUCGGACUGGUGAAAGCUCAUCAUUGUGCAUUGUGGACCACCGUCGAGAGGCGCCACUCCACCGAGACCGCCACUUCGGGCCUCAAGCACGGUACUCAGUGUCUCCGAGUCCGCCGGCACGCCGCCACCCCGCGGCGUCGGGCCGCUUCACGCCAGUGUUGUAAAGAGCCAAACCAUUCCUCACCCAAGGGGAGGCGGUGACAUAAUGGGAAUCCCCCCGCCGUGCAAGAGAAGGAUGACCCAAUAGCUGACAUCACGCAGCAGGGAGGGAGCGCAGGAAGAUGAUUCCUCCCCGGUUGUCAUGGUGCACAUGGGGAUGCCGCUCUGCGACUUAAACUUCGCCUGGGGGAGAAAUUCAUACGAAUCUCCCAGCGAGAAACGGCCAUUAUCCUAGGUUGACUUUGAGGGGUCCCCCCCCCCCUGACUGAUGUAUUGGACAGGACAUGAAUGGGAUUACGAGGCGCUUUGGCUGCCGCCGAAAAGACCAGAGAGAAAUAUUUCUCAAAAAAUUCUCCUGAAACUGAAGAGGUGAACACAAAGGGCUACAAGGAGGAGAGUUUGAUCUGAAUCCCGUAUCCUGUUGUUUUCAACGUGACUAAAUGAAUCCAC
ensembl:lncRNA